UACGUAGGUGGCAAGCGUUGUCCGGAUUUACUGGGCGUAAAGAGCGCGCAGGCGGUCGUUCAAGUCGCGUGUGAAAGCCCCCGGCUCAACUGGGGAGGGUCACGCGAUACUGAUCGACUCGAAGGCAGGAGAGGGUAGUGGAAUUCCCGGUGUAGUGGUGAAAUGCGUAGAUAUCGGGAGGAACACCAGUGGCGAAGGCGGCGACCUGGGCCAAUACUGACGCUGAGGUGCGAAAGCGUGGGGAGCAACAGG
rnacentral:rRNA from 1 species